UAGUAUUGUGGAAAUAUGGCAGCUAUAGAACUCACUUUUAUUGUCUUCCUGAUAGUUCUUUAUUUGUUUGCAUGCAACAUCUGACUACCACUCUUUGCAACUAAUACAUCAUUCCUUUAAGGUUUCUUCAACUUCUAGGCCCCAACUUCUUGUAGGUAAUUGCAUCAGCGGCCACUUCACCUAUACUACCAAACCACCAUUUCUACUACUUGACAGAGCCAUAAUUCAGGAAUUAUGAUUGGGGAUUUGCCCCAGAAGGGCCUAGAAUAGUCAAUGUCCAGGAAUGUAAUUCCUCCUCAUCAAGGUUCUAUAAUUCCUCUCCCUUUGAGUUUUCCAGAGGUCCUACACUGGUACAAUCAACCUCCAUCCCUCUUCAGAGGUUUUACAGCCAGUUCUAACACUCCUAUUGGGACUGAAUGCAUCUCCACAAGCCUACCUUUACCCACUGCUACAAACCCAAUUGGUGCCACCAUCUCCAGGGACCUGGAGGAGAGUCAAACAUACCACUAGGACUCAGGUCAGGCUCUACUGGGUAUUUGUAAAGGAAAACAGUAGACUUGAGACCUUAUCCAAUAUAGACCUGGGAUCUGAGUGAGAGAAGAAAAUGUCCCAUAGUUACCAUGUUCUAGUAGGUUUGAAGAGACACUCCACUGAAUGAAUGAAAACCACACGAUUUUCAAGAGGAUUCUUUUUUUCUGGAUCACAUUCCUUACAUCAAAUCUUUAGAAAAAGAAUCUUUGAAGAGGUCAAGUCUCUUAUCAAGGAUUGAACUUUGAUAGACUACUUCUUAAUGGGCCUUUGGCUAGAAAGUUUGUCAUGUCUAAACAGUUAAGUAGAGUUAAUUCUGGUCAGUGCCUGGAUGGAGGCUCUUCAAAGAAAAUCAGAGUGUUGUCUUAAAAAGCAGUACUUCAAAAGAUGGAGAAACUAAGGCUUACAGAGAUCAAGAGACUUGCUGAAAAUCACAUGUAGUAAGUCAAUCAGUUAGACAAUAAAUAUUGAGUAAACA